GGUGUAUGUGGUGAUAAGAUAGAGGGAAGAGGGAUUGUCAAACAUGGGGACGAAUGCAAGCAGAGGGAUUAUGCCUAGAGAUGCAGCGAAGGAGAUAGUGUUGCAGAUAACGAGUUCUUGGCUGUUAUAUUUAGCAAUACACUUUCUGUCGUUUCAUCUUGAUGAAUUGGAAUUGGCAUGGUCAUGGAAUCUGAGAGUUGGUAGCUUGUAAAGAUUGCAGACGAGGUGACUGCUUCCACUUUCACUUCAGCUAAAUGCAAGAUA
rnacentral:misc_RNA from 1 species